rnacentral:tRNA from 1 species
GCCUUAGUAGUGUAGUGGUCAGAACGCUCAGCGCGUAUUCGAGAGGUCCGCGGUUCGAGUCCCGGCGAGGGCA